AUAUUUACCUGGCAGGGGAGAGACCAUGAUCAUGAUCACGGUGGUUUUUCCAGGGCAAGGCUUAUUCAUUGCACUCAGGAUGUGGUGACCCCUGUGGUUUCCCCAAAUGUGGGGAACUCAACAGCAAAAUUUGUGGUAGUGGGGACUGCAUUCAUGCUCUCUCAUG